ensembl:lncRNA
GGGGAACUCGCUCACCGAGCCUCAUUACCUUUUGUCUGCAGUUCCAGGAAUGGAGCAGACGGUUGCCAGACCAUGGAAUGCAACGUUUGCCCCUUGAAAAGUCUUUAAAGACUUUAAACUUUGCACAGACGCUUCAAGCAGCCCCAGCUGCCAUUUCCACAUGAGAUGAUCUUAAAGAUAAAUGGAUGUUUGUAAUCACGCGGGCGCUGAUGAGCGGAGCGCACUGCUGUACAGGAAAUAGAUCCGGACUUUUGAGUUUGGGGUGGAACUUUCUGCAGUUGGGUGAAGCACGUUUUCCCACCAGCUGUAGAACAUAUAUCAACACAUCCAGUUAAUCAACCUGCAGUUUCCCUGGUGCCUAUUAAAAUCCAGCCCACGGUCUCCCUCUUCCAGCAGCUAGCACAGAGUAUCAGCACUUUAUCAGCAUUUCCACCUAUGCUUGGAGCUGCAGAUAUCUGCAGUAACUCUUCGUGCCAGAGAUCCACCAGGGGCUGAAGGACAACCAGCACCCUCCAGCCCUUCUGUGGCUCCUGGGUCUGAUCUGAG